AGGAUGAACGCUGGCGGCGUGCCUAACACAUGCAAGUCGAACGGAGAUAAGACGCCGAGGAGACUUCGGUCAAAUCAUGUCGUAUCUUAGUGGCGGACGGGUGAGUAACGCGUGGGCAACCUGCCUUACACAGGGGGAUAACACUUAGAAAUAGGUGCUAAUACCGCAUAAGCGCACAGCUUCGCAUGAAGCAGUGUAGAAAAACUACGGUGGUGUAAGAUGGACCCGCGUCUGAUUAGCUAGUUGGUGGGGUAACAGCCUACCAAGGCGACGAUCAGUAGCCGGCCUGAGAGGGUGGACGGCCACAUUGGGACUGAGACACGGCCCAAACUCCUACGGGGAGGCAGCAGUGGGGAAUAUUGCACAAUGGGGGAAACCCUGAUGCAGCGACGCCGCGUGAGUGAAGAAGUAUUUCGGUAUGUAAAGCUCUAUCAGCAGGGAAGAAAAUGACGGUACCUGACUAAGAAGCCCCGGCUAACUACGUG
rnacentral:rRNA from 1 species